ACGGCGGACGGGUGAGUAACGCGUGGGUAACCUACCCUGUACACACGGAUAACAUACCGAAAGGUAUGCUAAUACGGGAUAAUAUAUUUGAGAGGCAUCUCUUAAAUAUCAAAGGUGAGCCAGUACAGGAUGGACCCGCGUCUGAUUAGCUAGUUGGUAAGGUAACGGCUUACCAAGGCGACGAUCAGUAGCCGACCUGAGAGGGUGAUCGGUCACAUUGGAACUGAGACACGGUCCAA
rnacentral:rRNA from 1 species